rnacentral:rRNA from 1 species
UACAGAGGGUGCGAGCGUUGUCCGGAAUCACUGGGCGUAAAGGGCGCGUAGGCGGCCACGCACGUCCGUUGUGAAAUCGCCCGGCUCAACUGGGCGGGGUCAGCGGAUACGGUGUGGCUAGAGCAAGCUAGGGGGCAAUGGAAUUCCCGGUGUAGUGGUGGAAUGCGUAGAUAUCGGGAGGAACACCAGUGGCGAAGGCGGUUGCCUGGAGCUUUGCUGACGCUGAUGCGCGAAAGCGUGGGGAGCGAUCCGG